UACCUGGUUGAUCCUGCCAGUAGUCAUAUGCUUGUCUCAAAGAUUAAGCCAUGCAUGUGUCAGUACAGGCCGCUUUAAGGCGAAACCGCGAAUGGCUCAUUAAAUCAGUUAUCAUUCAUUUGAUGGAAAGCUAUUACUCGGAUAACCCUGGUAAUUCUAGAGCUAAUACGUGACUUUGACAACUCCGACUGGAAGGGAGGAGUGCUUUUAUUAGAUGAAAACCAAGCGGGCCUCGGUCCGUUCACUUGCUUGUGAUGACUCUGAAUAACUUUGUGCAGAGAGCACGGUCUCCGCACCGGCUCCGUAUCUUUCGAGUUUCUGCCUUAUCAUGCUGUGGAUUGUAGGCCAUGCGCCUACAGUGGCUGUUACGGGUGACGGAGAAUCAGGGUUCGAUUCCGGAGAGGGAGCCUGAGAAACGGCUACCACAUCCAAGGAAGGCAGCAGGCACGCAAAUUACCCAAUCCCAGCUCUGGGAGGUAGUGACGAAAAAUAACAAUGCGGGACUCUUCCGAGUCUGCGUAAUUGGAAUGAGCACACUUUAAAUCCUUUAGCAACAACCAAUUGGAGGGCAAGUCUGGUGCCAGCAGCCGCGGUAAUUCCAGCUCCAAUAGCGUAUAUUAAAGUUGUUGCGGUUAAAAAGCUCGUAGUUCGAGUUCAGUUUCGGACUGGGGUGGGAGGUCACCGCCCGGUGCUUGCCCCCUAGGCUCCGAACAGCUUCCGUGAGUGGAAGCCAAGCCGGUUCUGGCGGGGUGCUCUUUACCGAGUGUGCCGUACGGCCGGCCAGUUCACCUUGAAUAAAUGAGAGUGCUCAAAGCAGGCUACUCUGGAAUACAAUGCCGGAAUUUUCCUUGCAUGGAAUGAUGGAAGAUGAUCUCGGUUCCAUUUUGUUGGUGGUGGGAGCCCGAGGUAAUGAUAAAGAGGGACUGUCGGGGGCAUCCGUACUACGACGCGAGAGGUGAAAUUCAGUGACCGUCGUAGGACGAACAACAGCGAAAGCAUUUGCCAAGAAUGUCUUCGUUGAUCAAGAACGAAAGUUAGAGGAUCGAAGGCGAUCAGAUACCGCCCUAGUUCUAACCCUAAACGAUGCUGACUAGCAAUUCGCCGUCGUUAUUCCCAUGACGUGGCGAGACGCCCCCGGGAAACCUCAAGUCUUUGAGUUCCGGGGGUAGUAUGGUUGCAAAAGUGAAACUUAAAGGAAUUGACGGAAGGGCACCACCAGGAGUGGAGCCUGCGGCUUAAUUUGACUCAACACGGGAAAGCUCACCAGGCCCGGACACCAGAAGGAUUGACAGAUUAAGAGCUCUUUCUCGAUUUGGUGGGUGGUGGUGCAUGGCCGUUCUUAGUUGGUGGAGUGAUUUGUCUGGUUAAUUCCGGUAACGAACGAGACUCUGGCCUACUAAAUAGUGGACGUUGGUUUUGGUGCAUGGGCCACGUUCGACACAGUCUUCUUAGAGGGAUGAGCAGCGAGUAUAGCUGCAGGAGAUUGAGCAAUAACAGGUCUGUGAUGCCCUUAGAUGUCCUGGGCCGCACGCGCGCUACACUGAAUGGGUUAGCGGGUUGUCCUUGUCCGAGAGGAGCGGGAAAUCGCGUGAAAACCAUUCGUGAUAGGGAUUGGGGCUUGCAAUUGUUUCCCAUGAACGAGGAAUUCCCAGUAAGCGCAAGUCAUCAGCUUGCGUUGAUUAAGUCCCUGCCCUUUGUACACACCGCCCGUCGCUACUACCGAUUGAAUGAUUUAGUGAGGCCUUCGGACUGGCGGUCUUGGACUGGGUCGGCCGGUUACUUCCAGCAAUGGGGUGCCGUCGACUCGCCUAGACGGGCCGGAAAGAUGUCCAAACUUGAUCAUUUAGAGGAAGUAAAAGUCGUAACAAGGUUUCCGUAGGUGAACCUGCGGAAGGAUCAUUA